GUCAGGACACAGCAUGGACAUGAGGGUGCCCGCUCAGCGCCUGGGGCUCCUGCUGCUCUGGUUCCCAGUUUGCAAAGUGGGGUCCCAUCAAGGUUCAGCGGCAGUGGAUCUGGGACGGAUUACACUCUCACCAUCAGCAGCCUGCAGCCUGAAGAUUUUGCAACUUAUUACUGUCAACAGUAUUAUAGUACCCCUCCCACAGUGUUACACACCCAAACAAAAACCCCCAGGGAAAGAGAUGUGUGAG
rnacentral:lncRNA from 1 species